AUUAUAUUGACAUUUCUUUGAAGAAAGUAAACUAUUGUUUUCACGAGUCAUAUUUAAUUAGUAUUUAUUUGUAGUUGGAAGUCAUUUUUUAUUUUAUUUUGGUGUGAUUGCGUGGGCAUGGCAUGGGUUGUAGGCAUGGACUGAGAUCGAGAUACCGACAAACAUCACACAACAGAGUAAUAUGAUUGUUAACGCUCGAGAUAUUACAAAACUUGUGUUCACCAA